rnacentral:rRNA from 1 species
UUUUUUUAGGGCUUAUAAAAAGUAUAGCCUGCCCACUGUAAAUAAAUAAAGGGCCGCGGUAUUUUGACCGUGCUAAGGUAGCAUAAUCAUUUGUUUCUUAAUUAGAAAAUUGUAUGAAUGGCUGAACAAACAUUUUUUUUAUUUGUGUUAAUUUAUUGAAAUUUAAUUUUUAAUGAAAAUGUUGAAAUUCUCUUAAAAGACGAUAAGACCCUAUAGAGCUUAAUUUUACUUGAUUUGGGGGGAUUUGGGGGAAUUCCCCCAAAUCAAGUAAAAUUUAGUUGGGGCAAUAGCAGAAUAAGUUUAACUUCUGUUUCAAGGAAUUAUAAUUUUUGUUUUUAUCUUUUUUUAAGGUUACGAACAAGUUACCUUAGGGAUAACAGCGUUAAAAUUUUUGAGAGCCCAGAUCGACAAAGUUUUUUGCGACCUCGAUGUUGAAUUAUGAAUUCUACUCAAAGCAGCAUUUGAGUAAGAUAGCCUGUUCGACUAUGAAAUUCUU